GAUGAAGAACGUAGCGAAAGGCGAUACGUAAUGUGAAUUACAGAAUUCAGUGAAUCAUCGAGUCUUUGAACGCACAUUGCGCCCCCUGGUAUUCCGGGGGGCAUGCCUGUCCGAGCGUCAUUGCGGCCCUCAAGCACGGCUUGUGUGUUGGGCCUCCGUCCUCCUCCCGGGGGACGGGCCCGAAAGGCAGCGGCGGCACCGCGUCCGGUCCUCGAGCGUAUGGGGCUUCGUCACCCGCUCUUGUAGGCCCGGCCGGCGCUUGCCGACACAUCAAUCUUUUUUCCAGGUUGACCUCGGAUCAGGUAGGGAUACCCGCUGAACUUAAGCAUAUCAAUAAGCGGAGGA
rnacentral:misc_RNA from 1 species